UGCUUCGAUAUCUUACAGUAUGUAAAUGUAGACACUAGAAUUUAUCCCAAAUUUUGUGAACCUUAUAUGUGAUCACUGCAGUACCCAGAAUUCAUUAGAAUUAUACCUCUCAGUGUCAAUGAAACUGGCUUCUCAUAUAGAAGCAAACAGGCACCACGCACAGCAAAUGCUGCUGUGUAGUUUUUCUUCUGUUUCUUUAUUCUUGCAGUCU
rnacentral:misc_RNA from 1 species